rnacentral:rRNA from 1 species
UACGUAGGUGACAAGCGUUGUCCGGAUUUACUGGGCGUAAAGAGCGCGCAGGCGGUCGAUCAAGUCGAGUGUGAAAGCCCCCGGCUCAACUGGGGAGGGUCAUUCGAUACUGAUCGACUCGAAGGCAGGAGAGGGUAGUGGAAUUCCCGGUGUAGCGGUGAAAUGCGCAGAUAUCGGGAGGAACACCAAUUGCGAAGGCAGCUCGCUGGGACGUAACUGACGCUGAGACGCGAAAGCGUGGGGAGCAAACAGG